rnacentral:lncRNA from 10 species
GGCGCCGAGAGAGAGCGAGGGCUGUGAGGACUGCCAGCAGGCUGUCACCUCUCACUUCUGGGCUACAAACAUGGACAGCAUGUACUGAGGACUGGAGGCAACUGUAAUGCAACGGUUUUUCAUGCCAAAUGAUGUGGGAUCUGGAAAGAUGGGCGAAUAGGAAUAGCUCUGGUCUACAGCUCCCAGCAAAACCAACACAGAAGGUGGGUUAUUUCUGCAUUUCCAACUAAGGUAGGCA